UAGCUGCCACAGGAGCCCUAUUGCAACUUCCUAAAUGCUGUGUGACGCGCGCGCGCCAUCCAGCACGCUGGAGCGGCCGCAGGACAACCGUUCAUCUGGCACGAGAUAGCGACACGUGGUGGGUUGACCGACCAGGUGGGAUAGGCAGAGACGGUGCCUUUUUGUCGCUUCCCCGUUCCCCUCCCUCUCUCUCCUCCCGCACGGCGACAGGGCGAGAUAAAUCGAUUCGUAUGCGAGCGUCGCCGGCGACCGACGACAAGCGGCGGACCGGCGAAGCGAGCGCCACAUCAGGGGAAGGUGGUCACCAGCAAGUCCACGGGGCGGGGGGUGGGUGUGGUGAGUUGCUCGCGCGCGCGACCAGGGAGAAGAGGGAGUUGGGCGUGGCGGCGGCCGACGGGGGACGAGGCUCUCUGCUACGUGCACGAACAGAGAAGUCAAGUGCAAGAGCAUAGGCAACAUAAAAUUUCAAGAGCCAACAUCUUCUCUAUCAUCCAGUUCUACAGGGAAGAGGGGAGGCAAGAACAUGAGGGGGAGAUUUUGUGCAAGAUCAAGUUUCGCAGCACAUGGUACAGGAGGCAUUUUUGCAGCUUGUAUAUCACACAGGGAUGUACAGAGGUGGAGUUCCACUAGCUCUAGAACUAACAGAAUCAUGCCCAAAAAUUAGGGAGGGCCUUUUUACCUUGGUGUGUUCACGUGAAGAAAUUUGCCCAGUUCUGAAAAAUUCUUUGCUGAAGUUUCUCCA